ACUCAGGUGAUGUUGGUGCAGCUAAUCCACAGACCACACUUUGAGCAGCAAAGAUUUAAGUAGUGAUUUAUCUAAUUGUUUGGUUAUGACUGUGACUGUAGAGUCUAUGAGCUCUUAGUCCUGACUGGUCAUGGUUGUCUUUUAAUGAUGAUCUAGAAGCCUAUGAGAGAGGAGUUGUCCAAUAUUAUUUUAUAUGUGUUUCUUCCCACAAACUCUCUUGAAAUCUGAAGGAUUAUAUAAUGCAUCAUAGGAAGAACUGUAAUGUGUAAUCCAUAAUCUAAAGUCUAAUCCAUAAUCCCACCGACUCUCCAGGUUUCCCUUUAGGGAAGGUAUUUAGUGAGAUCCAGGUGCUCGCCAUGAUCAACAACAGGUUGCCGUGGGAGCAUUCGCUGCACCGUUACUCAUCCGGUUAUGAGGUUUAACCUACCGACCAAUGUUGCCCGUACUGUCAUUUCAGUCAAACUUUGUGUGGAAGAGUAAAACUUAUUCCUGUCCUGGGAAAUGAAGUAAAAUGGAAUCCAGGAGUAAUUCUGACUAAAAGUCUGAGUUUACGAACUUCCAGUGCUGCAAAACUGACAAUCUGUGAGUUAAUCUUUAUUCUGCACCUUCAUACUUUCAGAUCACCCAUGGAAAAUGUGGCUCCUUUUGUUGUGACUUCUGAGUAAAGGUCUCCAACAAAGAGACCUGGUGAAUCACGUGAAUUGACCAGAGGACCCAAGAGAGUCCUCAUGGAGGACUACUCGAUGAGCUAGUAAAUAGAACAGAGAUCUGUCCCUAAGUGGGAGGAAGCCUCUUUGGGGGCUAAUUGAAGAUUAGGUCUGAGCUAACAUCUGCAUCAGUCUUCCUCCAUUUUAUAUGUGGGACACUACUACAGCAUGGCUGAUGAGUGAUGUAUGUCCUUGCCUGUGAUAUGAACCCAUGAACCCAGGCCAGCAAAGAGGAGUGCACCAAACUCAAUGACUACACCAUGGGGCCAGCCCCUCAAAUAAAGUGUUUUUAUGAAAAAAUAUUUUACAUGGUCAAAUUUGUUUUUUACUUAAUAUUUCAAAUAAAGUGCUUUUAUCAAAUAUUA
rnacentral:lncRNA from 1 species